rnacentral:lncRNA from 1 species
GAGCCAGAUCCAAAAUGUUUUGAAAAGAAGAAGGAAUUCUCUUCAUUGGUUUCAGCAGACUUUGGAUCAGGCUUGUAACAGACAAAACUCUGAAUCUGAACAAACCAGCAAAGCAUAGAUCCCAACUUCAGAUUGUCAUCUGAGUCCUGUGGUUUUCCUAGGUCAGGCUGUCUGUCACUCUACCAUCUGUGAUAGAACCAAAGACAAGAAUUUUGAACUUUCUCAUCAAGACAUGACAUGUAGUUCACCUCUGUCACUCUGUAACCAUGACAGCUGAGAGAGGGUGUCAUCUUAAUCAAAAAUAGCAAAUAGAUUGUUUUUUAUGUAUCAUGGAAGCCGGAAUAAUCCAUUAACGAUUGAACCUGUUAACCUUGAACACUUCAGUAGGUCUCUUAGGCUGUCGUCAYUUCAUCCAAAUAUCCAUUUCACCGCCAGUGUAUGUGCUUUUAAGUCCAUUGGGCCAAGUGCUGAUACC